GACGAACGCUGGCGGCGUGCUUAACACAUGCAAGUCGAACGGAAAGGCCCUGCUUUUGUGGGGUGCUCGAGUGGCGAACGGGUGAGUAACACGUGAGUAACCUGCCCUUGACUUUGGGAUAACUUCAGGAAACUGGGGCUAAUACCGGAUAGGAGCUCCUGCUGCAUGGUGGGGGUUGGAAAGUUUCGGCGGUUGGGGAUGGACUCGCGGCUUAUCAGCUUGUUGGUGGGGUAGUGGCUUACCAAGGCUUUGACGGGUAGCCGGCCUGAGAGGGUGACCGGCCACAUUGGGACUGAGAUACGGCCCAGACUCCUACGGGAGGCAGCAGUGGGGAAAUUUGCACAAUGGGCGGAAGCCUGAUGCAGCAACGCCGCGUGCGGGAUGACGGCCUUCGGGUUGUAAACCGCUUUCGCCUGUGACGAAGCGUGAGUGACGGUAAUGGGUAAAGAAGCACCGGCUAACUACGUG
rnacentral:rRNA from 1 species